rnacentral:rRNA from 1 species
GACGAACGCUGGCGGCGUGCUUAACACAUGCAAGUCGAACGAAGUGGCGAACGGGUGAGUAACGCGUAAACAAAAUGCACUUCAGAGGGAGACAACAGUUGGAAACGACUGCUAAUACCGCAUACUGAGGGAGGGCAUUGAGUCUGAUUAGCUAGUCGGUGGGGUAACGGCCCACCAAGGCUAUGACCAGGAGCCGGGCUGGGAGGAGGACCGGCCACAUUGGGACUGGGACACGGCCCAGACUCCUACGGGAGGCAGCAGUAGGGAAUCUUCCGCAAUGGACGAAAGUCUGACGGAGCAACGCCGCGUGAGUGAGGACGGCCUUCGGGUUGUAAAGCUCUGUUAAUCGGGACGCGGUACCGGAAUAGAAAGCCACGGCUAACUACGUGCCAGCAGCCGCGGUAAUUC